ACUCUAAUAUAUUUUAGAAUCAUUUAAUGAGAACAUAGUUAGUGAUUCCAAACAGAGUUACCAACACUUCAAUUCAACAAGCUAACUACACAUGUGAUCUUAAAUGAUAUUACUUCUUGAAUAUCCUUGAACUUUCAAUUCAUUUUUUUCAGGUUUCUCUAGAUGCAGGAUAUCUGUUUUUGAAAUGGAAAAAAAGAAUUCUGGUUCAUCACCAUCAAUGUUCAUGAAUUUCUUUGGUUUCAAUUCUAGUUAUAUGGAUGAUUCUACUGAUUUAGGUCAAGAAAACAAUGAAAUUGAGAGAGACAAUAAUGCUGAAGAAGAUGACAAAGACGAUGAUGAUAACAAAGACAAUGAAAUUAAGAGGAAUUCAAAGCUAGACCCAAUAUUGCAACCUUCAACAAGCAAUGGGAUGGAUUUCCAAGAUGAAAAUCAAGCAAACUUUGCACAAACAAUGAAUCAUAUAUGGCUGAAUUCAGAUAGGAAGCAGAUGCCUGCAGCAAAUCAACCAAGAAGAGCGAGACCUGCCAAAAGAAAUCACAAAAAUGAAAAUCAUGGAAACGUAAACCAUGCCAACAUGAACUAUGAUCUCCAAGAUCUUCCUCCUGAAAAUAUGCCUAACUAUUCAAAACCAUUCAACCAUCAAAAUUUUGGUCCCAUUCUUCAUCAAGGAAUAAACAUGCAUCCCGCCAAAUCUAUGCAUAGGCCUCCAUAUCAAAUAAAUCCAAACCCUAAUUUUGAGCAACAAAAAAAAUUAUAUUCAUCCAUGAGCAAUGUAAGCAAAUCUCUUGGAGAACCAAAUUCAGCCUCAGUUUCUCAACAAGCAAGAAUGUCUCAUCAGCCUCCUCACAAUGCACAUGCAAUUCAAUUUCAAGCUGAGCCCACAAACAAAGAAAGACAGUAUACAUUUUUUCCAAAAUAUUGUGGGUUUUUGGAUGAAAAUAAGGAUUCAAAGCAUGACAAUGCACAUUUGAUUGUAAAUGAUGCAAACAGCCAUACCAUGUUUAUUCCAUCUUCAAUGAAUGCUUCUCAGAAGAAUGAAAUUAUCACUAAUUCUUCUGGACCUAACAAUCCACUUAUCAACCAAAAUCCACAACAAGUUAUGCAAUUUCCCUAUAAAGAUUCUUUUAGGAACACUUUAUCUAAUUCUCAAGGUACACACUUUGACACAAACAACCACAAAAACGUUCCUUAUCAACAACAAAGUUCUUUGCCCAAUCAAGAUAUUGUAGGAAAUCCUUCUUUGAUGUAUAACCCACAACAUGUUCCUCAAGAGCAAAAACAAAUGUUUAAUUUUGAGUUCCAGAAUCCUCUCAUCAAUCAUCAUGUUAAUCCUACACAACAACAACAAAACAAUUUUAACUCUUCAAGUAACCUACAUGCGCCUACUUUUCAUCAACAAAGGUUUAAUCCUCCUCUUGUUCAAACAAUAGCAACAACUGAUGCUGUUGAUAGUCAUGACAAUAUUCAUGAAGUAGAAUCCAAUAAAAACUCACAGAAGUCUCAAAAUAAUGAAGAUGAAAACCUAGAACAUGAUUUGUUAAUCAAACAAGGUAUAAAACCUAAUGUGAGUUAUGUAUUGAGUCCUCCUGCAGCAAAUACUCCUGUCAAUCCUCAAAAUACACUGCCUACACUAAACAUCACAUUUUCACCUACAUUUCAUGAUUCACCAUCUUCAUUGCCUACAACCCCAACACCUCAAAAAGGACCUUCAUUACCAACUGGACAACAAAACCCACAUCCAAAUCUUAACUAUAAUCCUUCUCAAAACAUUAGCUUGCAUCCUCCUCAAUAUCAAAAUCCUGAAAAGUAUCAUAAUGUUUCACCUUCAAUGUUUAGUGCUGAACCUCAUUUGGGAAGGAAAAAAGUGCAAAAUUAUUCAAAGGAAUAUAAUCCUACACACAAUGAAAUGGGUUCUCUGAUGACAAAUGAUAAUUUGGUUAAUGUUCAAAGAUUGGACUGUUCUUCUGCUUGUCAGAGUCAAUGUGAAGCUUAUUGUAAUCAAUUUGAAGUUUGCUGUAAUUCAAUAGAUUCACAUACAGUCUCUCAAAAUUGUAAGAACAAAAGAGUAAGUAGGUCAAAAUCACGAUGGCAACCACAACAUGUGCAAGAUAGUGAUAGUGAAGAUGGUUCCACUCAUUUGAGUACACAUAAAAGAACUUUAGGCAUGCUGUCCAAAAAACUAAAAAGUUCCAAAUAUACACGCAAGAAUGAAAUAGAAGAUUUAAUUAAAAAUAUUCCAAUGUGGAUUCAAAAAUCUAUUGUGCUUCCAUCACAUCAACGUGGUUUCUACAACAUCACUCGUUUGCUAACACGACAUCUUGAAUGUGACCUAUCCUUUUUUAAGUGCGGCUUGGCUCAUAUUUUUUAUUGAUGCAGGGAUUAAGUCCUCUUUUUGGGUGUUGAAACAGUACAAGAUACAAGUGCAUCGUUGGCUGUAAAUGAAUUCCGGAAUUCAAAAUGCCUUCAAGAUUUUGAAAACAAUUGUGAUGUUGUAAACAUGUUGGAGAGGAAAACACCAUCAUGCUCUCGUAAAGAUAAAGGUGUUGAUGAGAUACUAUCUCACAACAAAUCGACAAUGUUUGGAUCUUCUAUUACAAUACCCAUCACAGAUGGGGUUUUGAACAUAGGAAAGUGGCAAGUUAUCUGUUUAAUGGAGCACAAUGGCCAUGGGUCCUGCCACCGCAUGGUGGUGACCAUGACUGGAAUUUGAGCUCCAGCUCCUUAGGGCACCCCUGCCCCCCAAUCACAAUUAGGGUUAGGGUUUUGGAUCAGGGUUAAAGUUAUGGGGGCUUGCUCCUCUCUCUCUUUCUCUUGGUGAGCUGAAUUACACGACAUAUAAUUUUCAUUUAUUACCAGUUGAAUGCAACUGUGUUAUUGUGCUCCACAGGAGGUGAGAAAAUUUGUUUUCAUGAUUGGGUCACACAAUGUGCCAGUUCUGCAGCAUUGGCAGACUCUGUUGCACUCAUGACAGCACUUUUGCAAAACCUGCAAAUGCAUUGUCUUACCUUUUUAUGCAAUCUUUUUUCUUUAAUGUUGUGCAUUUGAAUGAUGUUUUCAAAUCCAUGGUGGUUGAGUGCUUGAUGCUGUAAAUUUAUGAUACUUUUGUAUGUGCAUGGUAGGGCCUUGCUCAAAGUUUUUAGUUUCAAUAGAAGAUAUGCAUCCAAGAGGAAAUUGUGUAGUUUUAUUUUAUGCUUUUAUCCUUGUCUGUGACACCUAACUUGUUAUUUUAUAGCCAAAAUUCUCAGGUCUAUGUUGACUUAGAUUAAUGGAAAACUUGUACCCUCCCUUUGUACUUUUUUUCUUGAUGCAGCUAGACACUUCUAAAACUAAUUGUGAACAAUUAUUUCAAUUGUAGAUGCAAACAAGUCACACUUAUUGCUAUAGUCA